GUCGUUGGUUGACUUUUGUGUCUAACGAAUUGCCACCACAUAUUGACAUAAUCGUAGCACUGCUCACCUGCCAGAGUCUCAUUCUUUUCCGGUUAUGGCUUUUUCAAGCUCAACAACUCCCACAGCAUACUUCAACUCAUUCACUCCUUCAUCUGGGCUUUCCCUUCCUUCUUCAUCCUCCAACCCUCUUAAGCUCCCUCUCUUCUGGCCAUGGCAGAAGGUGAAAGUGGGGCCACUGAGUGUGUCUCCAAUGGGAUUUGGGACAUGGGCUUGGGGCAACCAGCUUCUCUGGGGCUAUCAGGAAGCCAUGGAUGAUGAACUUCAGAGGACUUUCAAUCUGGCUGUGGAGAAUGGAAUUAAUCUCUUUGACACAGCUGACUCUUAUGGGACUGGCAGAUUGAAUGGCCAAAGUGAAAAACUACUUGGAAAGUUCAUCCGGGAGUUUCAAGGCCAAAAACGGGUUCAGGAUGACAUUGUAAUAGCCACCAAGUUUGCAGCAUAUCCAUGGAGACUAACACCAGGGCAGUUUGUAAAUGCUUGCAGGGGGUCACUAGAUCGUAUUCAAGUUGAGCAAAUUGGAAUUGGGCAGCUGCACUGGUCGACUGCAAACUAUGCUCCUUUGCAGGAGAUGGCCCUUUGGGAUGGUUUAGUGGCAAUGUACGAAAAGGGUCUGGUUCGAGCAGUUGGGGUCAGUAACUAUGGACCAAAGCAACUUCUAAAGAUAAACGAGUACCUUAAAGCUCGUGGAGUUCCCUUGGUUUCAGCUCAGGUGCAAUUCUCUUUGCUAAGCAUGGGAGAAGAUCAGUUGGAAUUAAAAAACAUAUGUGAUUCUCUUGGCAUCCGGGUUAUUGCUUAUAGUCCUUUAGGACUAGGAAUGCUUACUGGGAAGUACUCUCCUGAUAAACUACCACGAGGGCCUCGUUCAUUCCUAUUCAGACAAAUUCUUCCAGGGCUGGAGCCUUUACUAAGCACACUUAAUGAAAUCGCACGAAAGAGGCGCAAAACUGUGCCACAGUUUGCAGGUUGCUAUAAACUGGUGCAUAUGUAAGGGAACCAUUCCAAUUCCAGGUGUGAAGAGUGUGAAACAGGCAGAAGAGAAUUUGGGAGCUCUUGGCUGGCGCUUGAGUUCAGAAGAGGUACUUGAGUUAGAAUAUGCAGCCAGUGAAGCUCCCAGAAAGAUGGUUCAGAAUGUAUUUCAAACAAGGUGAUCCUUUCGAGUGACUAGCCGAGACAAAGGAAAAUGAAAGUGAUUUUCUUGUAGUAAAGGGAGAUGAAGACAAAUUUUGUACAAGUUCAUUUUACAAGAUGCAGUUUUCUUGAAUAAUUAGUUUCAUAGUUUCUUGUAAACUUACAUUAUAAGUGGAAUGAGAUUGCAUGCACUAA